AGUGCCAUGCAUGUGUAAGUAUAAAUAGUUAACUUUGAAACUGCGAAUGGCUCAUUAUAUCAGUUAGUAGUUCAUUAGAUGAAGAAUACUAAUUGGAUAACCGUAGUAAUUCUAGAGCUAAUACAUGUAUAAAGUCUUGUAGACUGCAUUUAUUAGAAUGAAAACCAUAGGUUUCGGCCUAUUCGUGAGUAAUAAUAACUUAUCAUAUCGUAUGCUUAUGUAACGAUGUGUCUUUCAAGUUUCUGCCCUAUCAGCUUUCGAUGGUAGUGUAUUGGACUACCAUGGCAGUAACGGGUAACGAAGAAUUUCGGUUCGAUUUCGGAGAGGGAGCCUGAGAGAUGGCUACCACAUCCAAGGAAGGCAGCAGGCGCGUCAAUUACCCAAUCCUGACACAGGGAGGUAGUGACAAUAAAUCACAAUGCGGAACAAUGUUUUGCAAUUGGAUUGAGAACAACGUACAAACCUUAUCGAUAAACAAUUGGAGGGCAAGUCUGGUGCCAGCAGCCGCGGUAAUUCGC
rnacentral:rRNA from 1 species